rnacentral:rRNA from 1 species
CCUACGGGGUGCAGCAGUGAGGAAUAUUGGUCAAUGGACGAGAGUCUGAACCAGCCAAGUAGCGUGAAGGAUGACUGCCCUAUGGGUUGUAAACUUCUUUUAUAUGGGAAUAAAAUGUUCCACGUGUGGGAUUUUGUAUGUACCAUAUGAAUAAGGAUCGGCUAACUCCGUGCCAGCAGCCGCGGUAAUACGGAGGAUCCGAGCGUUAUCCGGAUUUAUUGGGUUUAAAGGGAGCGUAGGUGGAUUGUUAAGUCAGUUGUGAAAGUUUGCGGCUCAACCGUAAAAUUGCAGUUGAAACUGGCAGUCUUGAGUACAGUAGAGGUGGGCGGAAUGCGUGGUGUAGCGGUGAAAUGCUUAGAUAUCACGAAGAACGCCGAUUGCGAAGGCAGUUCACUGGACUGCAACUGACACUGAGGCUCGAAAGUGUGGGUAUCAAACAGGAUUAGAUACCCCAGUAGUC